GUAACAAGGUUUCCGUAGGUGAACCUGCGGAAGGAUCAUUAAUGAAAUGCAAGGAUGCUCUUUUUAGAGGUCCGACCUAUUCAUUUUUCACCCUGUGCACUAUACAUUUUUACAUCAUUUUACACCUUAGUCUCAGAAUGUAUUGAUCUCUUAAUUGAGAAUAACCCUUUAAAACUUUCGGCAACGGAUCUCUUGGCUCCCGCAUCGAUGAAGAACGCAGCGAAAUGCGAUACGUAAUGUGAAUUGCAGAAUUCAGUGAAUCAUCGAAUCUUUGAACGCACCUUGCACUCUUUGGUAUUCCGAAGAGUAUGUCUGUUUGAGUGUCGUGAAACUCUCAACCCCCUCGUUUUGUAAUGAGACGAGCGUGGGCUUGGAUCGUGGCUGCUUGCCGGUCUGUCAAGACCGACUCGGCUGAAAUACAUGAGUGACCAUAUUGAAACAAGACGGUUUGACUCGGCGUAAUAAUACUAUCUCGCUGGGGACGUCAUUUUCAAAGGCGCUUCUACUAUACGCACUUUUAAGCUUUAGACCUCAAAUCAGGCAGGACUACCCGCUGAACUUAAGCAUAUCAAUAA
rnacentral:rRNA from 1 species